AAAAGGACAAUGAACAAAACACUAAGAAAUUUAAAUUUAACAAUAUCAAGGUAAAGGAAAAUACAUACUAUGUAAAAAUAGCAAUACAAAGCAGUUAGGAAAAACACGGGUAAAAUACAGCACACAGAAACAGAUGUCAGGUACUUAGCUGAGUAGGCAGCAGCAAAGAAAGAGGAGUGGCUUAGGGUUACAUGGGUGGAUAUGUUC